rnacentral:rRNA from 1 species
CACACCUGUUCCCAUACCGAACACAGAAGUUAAGCCCUUCAGCGCUGAUGGUACUUGGUGGGUAACUGCCUGGGAGAGUAGGUCGUUGCUGGUU